CAGGCCUAAUGAUUCUGUUGAGGUGGCCCUGUUGGACGGUAUCAUGAUGGGAGGUGGGGCUGGGAUUACCCUUCCAGGCAUGUUCAAAGUGGUGACUGAUAGAACUGCAAAUACAGAGACUUGGUGGAAUUGAAGAACGCCUUGGUAAAAUGAUAACCGAUGACCCUUCUGUCAUAGAAUCAUCUCUUGCUGCAUUCGGUGAUCUUGUCGAUCCUCCAAAAGUGACCUCGUUUCGCCAGUUCAGGCUCCCGAUAACAGGAGCGUUCUUUCCAAGCUCGAUGCAACAGAUGGGUGUUUUAGCCACGACACUGUUGAGUAAAUUUUGGAAGCCUUGGUAAGCAUUGUAUCAUGUUUCUUUCUAAACCUUUAUGAUGCUGUUGGACACUUCAACUAGUAGAAUUCAUAGACUAACCAACCAAGUGUAUAGCUUGCUGACCUCUACUAAGAAUCAAAACUUCACGGAAGUAUUUUUUGUUUUAAUCCACACGUUUAGGAAAGAGAGGCUGCAGAGUCUUGUGAUGAAUGGUAUUCUUCAACCCUGAAGUUACUUCAGAGAAGCCUCGCCAUUGAGCUGAAAGUUACUCUAAAUCUAUCUGUGAGUUUUCGAAGUCUCAAGGCCAAUGUCUUGCUCGUGAAUACAGUAUAUCCCUCAUCGGAAUUUUGAAGCAGGCAUCUCCCGAUUUCUAUGAGGUGAAUUACCUGAACUAUUGCUGCCCACUGCGUUACGGUAUCCAAAUUCACGGUAAAGAAGCAAAAAUAUACCCGACGUCUAUUUGGUGGUGCCAUAAUUAUUGUUUCAGACACUCAAUUUCUCCGGUUCAGAGGUUGAAUUUCAUCUUGUCAAUGACCAUUUUGGUAUGACUUUUUUUUUCUCUCUCAUAUAAUAUAUUAUUGUUUUUAAUGAGCCCAUCGAUUUUUCCUAAUAGAUAGUAGAGGUGUACAUUCAACCCGAUAUACUGAAUCAACACAAUUUGAUGGAUUGGAUUGGGUUCAUUUUUUUGAAUCCAAAAUGAUUCGGUUCGA